rnacentral:rRNA from 1 species
UACAGAGGUCUCAAGCGUUGUUCGGAUUCAUUGGGCGUAAAGGGUGCGUAAGCGGCGCGGUAAGUCGGGUGUGAAAUCUUGGAGCUUAACUCCGAAACUGCAUUCGAUACUGCCGUGCUUGAGGACUGGAGAGGAGACUGGAAUUUACGGUGUAGCGGUGAAAUGCGUAGAUAUCGUAAGGAAGACCAGUGGCGAAGGCGGGUCUCUGGACAGUUUCUGACGCUGAGGCACGAAGGCCAGGGGAGCAAACGGG